rnacentral:lncRNA from 1 species
UUUCCUAGAAGGCUCAGCAAUAAGCAAGGCUUGGAAUGGGGUCCCAACCUCAUCCUCAGCAUCAAUAUAGGAGACGAAAGAUAAAUGACUGACCAAGAGAGCCCUCUCUCCCCCCAUCACCACCAACUUUUUGUUCUUAACGAACUUCAACUUCUGGUGUACAGUGGAUGUCACGGCGCCUGCCUCGUAAAUCCAUGGUUUGCCAAGCAAAGAACUAUAAGACGGAUGGAUAUCCAUG